GACGAACCGUGCGAACGUUAUUCGGAAUCACUGGGCUUAAAGGGUGCGUAGGCGGGUCCGUCAGUCAGGGGUGAAAUCCCACGGCCCAACCGUGGAAGUGCCUCUGAUACUGCGGGCCUCGAGGGGGAUAGGGGCGUGCGGAACUCGGGGUGGAGCGGUGAAAUGCGUAGAUAUCCUGAGGAACACCGGUGGCGAAAGCGGCGCGCUGGAUCCCUUCUGACGCUGAGGCACGAAAGCCAGGGGAGCAAACGGG
rnacentral:rRNA from 1 species